AAGAACAUAAUGAAGAGUAGAGUAUAUAUUAUUAACUUUAAAGAGAGUUCUCGGAUGGUGGGAGAGAAUAAGGUAGUAGAUAGAAAAUGAGCUUGGAAUGGUACUGGUAUGUGUAGAUAUCCAGUGACGAAGUUGUGCACGUUUUAGCACAAAGCUAAGAAUUGGAAUUUAGCUACUGAGGUGUUGUCUACGAGGAUAACACAAAAAAAGGUGGUAACACGGUAAGACUCGUCCUUAUU
rnacentral:ncRNA from 1 species